UGAUAAAUUUAAAGCAAGUGAUCGACAGGAUUCGGCUUGCUUCGUGUGUUUUCGUGUAGCGUAAGAUCAGCGUUAUUGCAUGUGUGACGUUAUCCAGUUAUCUACGUUUCAAAUCUAUGAAUAGUACAGUGAAAGAUUGUAUGUACGAUAUUUUACGAAGCAAUUGAUAUAAUGUGUGGCGAUUUAGUGAUAAAUUAAUUAAUUGAUACUUCAACGCGUAAUUUUGCUACAGGUACCAAAGAGAUCACUGGCAAGAGUCAGGUCUGUCGCGCAGGUAAACCACUCGUUGCAUUCCCUCGAGAUUUAUACUCCGAAGAAUGCCGUGGAGAGCAGCUCGGGAGAGGCCUGCACCGUGGAUCGAGAGGAACCAUGGCACGAGGAAGGGAGAUCGGGGCUUGACUGGUUUCAACACGAUCUUGGAUGCUGCUCAACCAUCACCUGCCAACUAUUCGAAAGCGCUGUUGCAGAAUAGAAUUACGUCGCCCAAAAAUGGAGACGUCGCUGUCAGGAUGGCAAAUCGAUGGAAUCUCGUAUUUUUUCCGAAUAAUGGAAUCAUUUAGGCAACCAACCGAGAAACAGCCACCAGGUACAUUAGCAUCGAUGUUAACGAGCCACAGGAUGUACCACAUUCGAAUAUCGUAGCUACUCUAAUCGAUUCGCCUUUUCGUAGUGAAUGCACGAUUCUUUUUUGGAAAAACAAAAAAUCGUGUGAAUUAUAUAGAGAAAUAUAGGGCUAAACUUGGAUUUUUAACGUCCUGUGGCAUCAAGGAAUGCAUUUUUAGCAAAUCGUCACACUUCUCUUCGC